rnacentral:tRNA from 1 species
GGACGACUAGCUCAUUUGGUUAGAGCGCCACAUUGACAUUGUGGAGGCAGUUGGUUCAACUCCAACGUCGUCCA